rnacentral:rRNA from 1 species
AGCGAACGCUGGCGGCAGGCUUAACACAUGCAAGUCGAGCGGGCACCUUCGGGUGUCAGCGGCAGACGGGUGAGUAACACGUGGGAACGUACCCUUUGGUUCGGAACAACUCUGGGAAACGUAGGAGCUAAUAACCGGAUACGCCCUUAUGGGGAAAGGGUUUACCGCCGAAGGAUCGGCCCGCGUCUGAUUAGCUAGUUGGUGAGGUAACGGCUCACCAAGGCGACGAUCAGUAGCUGGUCUGAGAGGAUGAUCAGCCACACUGGGACGUGAGACACGGCCCAGACUCCUACGGGAGGGCAGCAGUGGGGAAGUAUUGGACAAUGGGCGGCAAGCCUGAUCCAGCCAUGCCGCGUGAAGUGAUGAAGGCC